rnacentral:rRNA from 1 species
AGCGAACGCUGGCGGCAGGCCUAACACAUGCAAGUCGAACGAACCUUUCGGGGUUCGUGGCGUACGGGUGAGUAACACGUGGGAACGUGCCUUUAGGUUCGGAAUAACUCAGGGAAACUUGUGCUAAUACCGAAUGUGCCCUUCGUGGGAAAGAUUUAUCGCCUUUAGAGCGGCCCGCGUCUGAUUAGCUAGGUGGUUGAGGUAAUGGCUCACCAAGGCGACGAUCGGUAGCUGGUCUGAGAGGAUGAGCAGCCACAUUGGGACUGAGACACGGCCCAAACUCCUACGGGAGGCAGCAGUGGGUAAUCUUGCGCAAUGGGGGGAAGCCUGACGCAGCCAUGCCGCGUGAAUGAUGAAGGUCUUAGGAUUGUAAAAUUCUUUCACCGGGGACGAUAAUGACGGUACCCGGAGAAGAAGCCCCGGCUAACUUCGUG